rnacentral:Y_RNA from 1 species
GGCUGGUCCGAUGGUAAUGGUUUAUCAGAACUUAUUAACAUUAGUGUCACUAAAGUUGGUAUACAACCCUCCACUGCUAAAUUUGACUGGCUUUAA